CACACACACACACGCACCCCUACACACACACACACACACACACACACCCCUACAUAGGUCACACACACUCACGCACACGCAAAUGUACCCCGCCCCGCGCUCGCUGGACCUCAGGCUCUCGCUGGCCUGACCCCUGGCGAAGGAGUCCGGCUUGGCCGAGCAGGGCAAGACCAGUCCGAGAGCCGCCAAGGGGCCGGAGCGGGCGAGCUCAAAGCGGUCUGUUCCCACGGCUUCUACCGACAGUCCCAACCGCGCGGUGGACGGGGAGGUUCUCGCCACGAGAACUGUUGCUCAUAUCCUGGGAGAUGGCUUGUUGAAGCGAAGAUUCUAUGUGGGCUGCAAUCAGAAGACUUGGAUUUCAAUCUCAGCUUUGUUACUUACUACCUGAAGACUCCGGGUGAACAAACAGCAAUCUUGGGGUGGAAGUACUACUAAUCUUCAGAGGGAACUUCACAAGUCCAAAAGUAGGUGCCAACAUUCUGAAGAAGUGUACCUCUUGAAUGGAAUCAUAAUGACAACUUUGAGUUGGAAAGGGCCUUGAGGCCGCCUAAAUCCAAACUAUAUCUGAACCAGAAGCUCUUCUAUAACAAAAUCCAAAUGGUCAUCCAGCCUCUUCCUGAAAACCUUGAAAGAGAAACCUCUCACUGGAGGCAGCUCAUUCAGCUCUUGGACGGCUUCAAUCAAACUGAAAUCUGCCCCUCUGCAGCUUCCACCCAGUGUUCCUGAUUAUACCCUAUGGGACCAAACA